CAAACAAUCUCAGCAAGUGUGAAUAGUUGACAGAUUGAUCCACUUUAAUAUCUUUAGUACUAUCUGCAAUCAGUAACAUCUAGAAUGGUGCUAAAGAGUGCUUAGAUAUCUAGCAAAAUCUAUAAGUUCAUAAUCCUCUUCUUGACUCAAUAAUAACUUAAUUUGAAAAACAUUUUAAUAAGACUCAUAAAUAAAUUACUAUCAGUAAACCUCCCCCAGACUUAAACUACACUGUCCCCAGUGUAAAUUCAGUCGGAAUUAUGGUGAGAAUUAAUCAUAAGUACAUAAUUUAACAACUAACAACGAUGACCUGCUCAGUUUCGAUCGACACAAUGAAGUGAUAAUCGAUCGUUGUU
rnacentral:lncRNA from 1 species